CGCUCUUAGUUCAGUUCGGUAGAACGCAGGUCUCCAAAACCUGAUGUCGUAGGUUCAAAUCCUAUAGAGCGUG
rnacentral:tRNA from 1 species